UCCGAGUUGACCCCGGCAGUCUCUCACGAGUCCCCACCAUAACGUGCUGGCAACAUGAGACAAGGGUUGCGCUCGUUGCGGGACUUAACCCAACAUCUCACGACACGAGCUGACGACAGCCAUGCACCACCUGCACACAGGCCACAAGGGAACCGACAUCUCUGCCGGCGUCCUGUGCAUGUCAAACCCAGGUAAGGUGGGGAUGACGUCUGCGUAACAGAA
rnacentral:misc_RNA from 1 species